rnacentral:lncRNA from 1 species
CACUUCAAACUUCUUCAGUGGCGAGUUGCCUGAGUCCUUGUUCCAGCUUCCCUUGCUACAAGUGCUGAAUCUUGAUCACAACAAUCUUACCGGUCUGAUUCCUGCAAGUGUUGGUGAGUUGAAAGAGCUUUCAGAUCUGACCUUGUCUCAUAAUGACUUGUCUGGUCCCAUCCCUGAGUCCAUUGGUAACUGCAGUAAGCUGGAGUAUCUGUACUUGCACAAGAACAAGCUUAAUGGUUCGUUACCGGAAAGUCUCAACCUGCUCAAGAAUCUCAGCGAAGUGUUUGUCAGCAACAACAGCCUUGGAGGGAGGAUUCGUUUCGGUUCAAGCAACUGCAAGAAGUUGGUGGCUUUGGAACUCUCCUACAAUCAUUUCGAAGGUGGUGUUCCUCCUGAACUUGGCAACUGCAGUAACCUUGACUCUUUGGUCAUCAUCGGAUGUAACUUGACAGGUAGCAUUCCAUCAUCAUUGGGUAUGUUAAGAAAGGUUACGCUUAUUAACCUCGGCGACAAUCGUCUCUCUGGUAAUAUCCCUCAUGAGCUUGGGAACUGCAGCAGCUUACAUACUUUGAAGCUGAACGGCAACCAGCUCCAAGGCGAGAUACCCGCUGCAUUGGGUAACCUAAAGAAGCUACAAAGUCUGGAGCUUUUCGAGAAUAAGCUGUCUGGUGAGAUUCCUAUCAGCGUAUGGAAGAUUCAGAGUCUGACACAGAUGGUCGUUCACAACAACACUCUCACCGGAGAACUACCAGCUGAAGUUACUGAGCUGAAGAAUCUUAAGAAGCUUUUGAUGUUUAACAACAGCUUUCAUGGAGGGAUACCGAUGAGUUUAGGUGUGAAUAGAAGCUUAGAGGAGGUGGAUCUAAUUGGUAACAGUUUUACAGGAGAGAUACCUCCCAAUCUCUGCCAUGGACAGAAGUUGAGGUUUUUUAACUUGGGUUCUAAUCAGCUUCAUGGUAGCAUACCACCCUCUGUUGGUCAGUGUAAGACCCUUGAGAGAAUCUGGCUUGGAGGAAACAAGCUUUCUGGUGUUCUUCCUGAGUUUCCUGACACACAUAGUCUUGAGUUUGUGGAACUCAAAGGCAACAACAUUGAAGGAUCCAUCCCUCGCAGCUUGGGAAGCUGCAAGAAUCUCCUAACAGUUGACCUGUCUCAAAACAAACUCACUGGUUUGAUACCCCCAGAACUGGGAAAUCUGCAAAACCUCGGACUGUUGAAUCUUUCACAUAACCACCUGGAAGGUCCUCUGCCAUCUCAGCUAUCUAGCUGUGUGGGAAUACUGGAGUUUGAUGUCGGAUCCAACUCACUGAACGGUUCUGUUCCUUCGAGUUUCAGAAGCUGGAAAAGCUUGACUACUUUGGUUCUCAGCCAUAAUCGGUUUUCAGGAGCCAUUCCACCGUUCUUGGCCGAGUUUGGCCGCCUAAUAGAUCUCCAGGUAGCUACAAAUGCUUUUAAAGGUGAGAUUCCUUCCUCUCUUGGCUUGUUAAAGCACCUGAACAGCUUAGACCUCAGUGGAAACGGAUUCACCGGCGAGAUCCCAGCCUUUCUGGUAGGUCUUGUUGAUCUCGUACGGCUCAACAUAUCCAACAAUAAGUUGACAGGGAACUUAUCCGUUCUUCAGAGUCGUAGUUUCUUUCAGCUUGACGUCUCGAACAAUCAGCUCACCGGUCCAAUACCGGAAAAGCUGAUGAAUAGUUCAUCAGUAUUUACUGGAAACCCAAGCCUCUGCAUUCAACCUUCUCACUCAGUAAGUGCAGUGAUCCGUAAAGAGUUUAAAACUUGCAAAGGUCAAGCCAAACUUAGCACCUGGAUGAUCGCCAUUAUAGCAGUUGGUUCCUUUCUAUCUGCAUUGGCUUUACUUUUUGCUUUAGUUUUGGUUUUUACCUGCUGCAAAAGAGGAGUCAAGACAGAAGAUACUCCUGUCCUCGACGAGGAAGAAGGUCUUUCCUUACUGCUUAACAAAGUUCUCACAGCCACUGACAAUCUAGACGACAAGUACAUCAUUGGAAGAGGAGCUCAUGGAGUUGUUUACAAAGCCUCAUUAGCCCCAGGCGAAGAAUACGCCGUGAAGAAACUCAUCUUCGCAGAAAGCGUACGUGCAAACCAGAAUAUGAAGAGAGAGAUCGAGACGAUCGGGCAAGUUAGGCAUAGAAACCUCGUUCGGUUGGAAAGGUUUUGGAUUAUGAAAGACAAUGGCCUGAUGCUGUACAAGUACAUGCCCAAUGGAAGCUUACACGACGUUCUGCACAGAGGCAAUAAUCAAGGAGAAACAGGUCUUGACUGGUCUGCACGGUUCAACAUAGCUCUUGGGAUUGCACACGGGCUAGAGUAUCUACACCAUGACUGUCAUCCACCAAUCAUCCACCGUGACAUCAAACCAGAGAACAUACUUAUGGACUCGGAGAUGGAGCCUCACAUUGGAGAUUUCGGAUUGGCUAGGAUUCUUGAUGACUCGACUAUUUCAACAGCAACCAUCACAGGCACCACUGGUUACAUUGCACCAGGUACACUUUACUUCUCAGCAUUAACAUUAAUUUAACAUUUUGUUUUACUGUUGGGUUUAAUCAUUGCUGCUAUCAAAACAGAAAAUGCGUACAAGACGGUGAGAUGCAAGGAAUCAGAUGUUUAUAGUUAUGGAGUUGUUUUGCUUGAGCUGAUAACGGGAAAGAGAGCAGUGGACAGAUCUUUCCCUGAGGAGACUGAUAUCGUGAGCUGGGUUAGAUCUGUGUUAAGCAGCUACGAGGAUGAAGAGGAUUAUACUGUUAGUCCAAUCGUUGAUCCAAGGCUUGUGGAUGAGCUUCUAGAUACACAGGUUAGAGAACAGGCAAUUCUAGUUACAGACUUGGCACUUGUGUGUACGGACAAAAGGCCAGGGAACAGACCGUCCAUGAGAGAUGUGGUGAAAGAGUUGACUGAUGUGAAAGAUCUUGUAAGAAGCACUUCUGGUUCAGUUCAAUAGUUUCUGUAUUUUACAGGUUUAUAGUAGCAGUAUGAGUGGAGAGACAUGUAUACUGAUAUGAUAUGAUAUGUUAUUAAGUAGCAGAAACAUCUAAGAUCUAAGAAACAUGUAUGAAGUACUGUAUUAAUUAUUGCGUAAGCCAAAUUGUUGGGAGUAAUAGAUUACAAACAAAGAGGCUUAUACACAUUUUCCUAUUUCAAUACGUUUUAGCCGGUGCUACCAGAUAGCUCACCAGAGAGAACUAUCAUAGAAUGUGGAACCUGUUUGUGUGUGCAAUGAAUGUUUAGAUCCCUGGAGCCUUACGCAUUUGCCUUAGGCUGAAUAUAAAACUGAAAUGCUUAGAUGAUGCUGGAAUGUUUAUGGAUGUGUAAGUGUCUCAUGCUUUUGCUUAAUGUCAUGUUUGUCUUGUUUCUUGGUAUCCAAGAAAUGUGUGUUCUUUAGGGGUCUAAGUUUCUUGAUGACAAUCGUUAAACUUGAACAUUUCAUUUUCUAGUUUUUCCCGUAGCUAUUUGGAAUAUAAACUGAAUUUAGAUUGUCACGUUGGGGGAGUUUAGGGCUUUAAUCAUACUCUUUAAGUGAUUCUUAUCGACUUUGAGACUGUUUUCGCAAUUUGAAGAGCUUGUUGCAAACUUUUAACCAAAAUCGAAUCAAUCAAACCAAUCCGAGCCACCCGAACCCAAACCAACCCAAACUAACGUAUAUGGGGCGAAGCAGUUCGACAUUCAACCUAUGUCAUCAACUACUGACGAGAGCUCUUAAGAACAAGACGCCUUAUGAAAGCUUGCGACUGAAGAAACCAAACCUAAAUCAUAUAAGGGUUUUCGCGUGCUUAGCAUAUGCAAAGAUAGACAGUGCAAUGCUCAAGAAGUUAGACGAUAGAUCGUUGGUCUUGGUUCAUCUCGGAACAGAACCAGCUUCCAAGGCUUAUAGGCUCUACAAUCCGGAUACACGAAGAAUUGUAGUAAACUGUGACGUUGUGUUCGAUGAGAAAAAAGGUUGGAACUGGAACAAAACAACUGGGACUACACGUGAUCCAGGUAUGUUCCAAAUGAAGUGGGGAGAAGUCAUUGAUGCAGGGGAAGGACCGGUUGUGAUCAACGCUGAUAAUGAUCAACAACAAGAGGACAAGGACCAUCACAAUGAACAAGACGAAGAUCAUAAUCAAGAGAAUGACAUUGAUCAAGACGCUCAACCUCAACUUCAACAACCAAUACAACAACCAAUACGACAAUCAACACGACAGAGCAACAAACCUCGGUAUCUAGACGACUAUGUUCUACAAGCUGAACUAGACAUCGAGAGGCUCUUACUAUCCAUAAACGACGAACCAAGGAACUACCAAGAAGCAAAGGGUUGGUCAAAGUGGACUGAUGCUUGCGGAGGAGAGAUAGAUUCAAUGAACAAGAACAAGACAUGGUAUCUCGUUGAUAGACCGAUUGGAGCAAAGGUAAUUGGUCUCAAGUGAAUUUUCAAAAUCAAAAGGAAUGCUGUCGGUACUAUCAAGAAGUUUAAAGCAAAGCUUGUAGCUAAAGGUUACAUACAAGAAUCAGGCCUCGACUAUGAUGAAGUUUUUGCGCCGGUUGCGAGACUUGAAACCAUACGGCUUCUAAGUGCUCUAGAAGCAUCACACGGUUGGCAAAUUCAUCACUUAGACGUAAAGACAGCUUUCUUAUACGGUGAACUAAAGGAAGACGUCUACGUCGAACAGCCCGAGUGUUUUGAAGCUAAAGGCAGAGAACAGAAGGUUUAUAAGCUGUCAAAAGCCUUGUACGGGUUAAAUCAAGCUCCACGAGCUUGGAACACUAAGCUGGAUCAAGUGUUAAAAGGAAUGAAGUUCAGUCGAUGCACAAAGGAGAACGCAGUGUAUCACAAAGAAGAAAAAUAUGUGAUCCUUAUCGUUGCGAUAUAUGUCGACGAUCUAUUCAUAACCGACAACAACAUCAACGCAAUAAGUGAGUUCAAAAGAGGGAUGUCAUCAAAGUUUGAGAUGUCUGACCUAAGUAAACUCACAUAAUAUCUUGGGAUAGAAGUUCAUCAAGGUAUUGAUGGGAUUGAGCUUAAACAAGAAGCAUACGCAAGAAAAGUUCUUAAAGAAGUUGGCUUAGGCCCUGUUCGUUUCCUCACCCAGGUGAUCCAUCUGGGUGAAGAUGCAAAUUGAUGUUCGUUUUGUGCAUUAUAAUGCUACAUCCAGAUGGAUCACCCAGCUAAACUCAUCUCAAAUUCUCAUCCAAAUGAAGGUGAGUCUUGAUGGUGCAUCUAGAUGCAGAUGCAUCUAGUUCAGUCCAAAAUAAUAAAUGACAAAAAUGACCUUUUAAAAUCAAAAUAUUAUUUUCAAACCGUAAAUUCUAUUUUUUUUCAUAUACAUUUUUCCGUUAUAACAAAAAAUGCAUUUUCUCGCAAAAAUUAAAAAACACACUUUCCCGCCAAAACCGCAAGGUGCGUUUUUCCGCAAAAAAAACAUAAAACACACAUUUUCAUAAAAACACAUUUUCGGCUAAACCAGUAAAACCACAAUUUUCGACCAAAACCGAAAAAAUGCAUUUUCCCGCCAAAACCCAAAAAACACAUAUUCCCGCCAAAACUCCAAAAAGCAUUUUCCGGCCAAAACCAUAAAAAGCAUUUUCUCGCCAAAACCGGAAAACGCAAUUUCCCACCAAAACCGAAAAAAACGCAUUUUCUCGCCAAAACCGAAAAACAUAAUUUUCCUGCCAAAACCGGAAAACAGAAUUUUCCCGCCAAAACCGGAAAAACGCAUUUUGUCGCUAAAACUGAAAAACACAAUUUUACAACCAAAACCGGAAAAUGAAAUUUCCCCGCCAAAACUGAAAAACACAUUUUUCCGCCAAAUCCAGAAAAAAUGCAUUUCCCGUCAAAACCGAAAAACGCAUUUUUCCGCCAAAACCGGAAAAACGCAUUUUCCGCCAAAACCGUAAAAACGCAUUUUUCCGCCAAAACCAGAAAAAUGUAUUUUCCCGCCAAAAACCGAAAAAUGCAUUUUCCCGCCAAAACCGGAAAAAUGUAUUUUUCCGCCAAAACCGGAAAAAUGCAUUUUUCCGCCAAAACCGAAAAAAUGUAUUUUCCCGCCAAAACCGGAAAAAGGCAUUUCCCGCCAAAACCGGAAAAAUGCAUUUUCCCGCCAAAACCGGAAAAACGCAUUUUCCCGCCAAAACCGAAAAAUGUAUUUUUCCGCCAAAACCGCAAAAAUGCUUUUCCCGCCAAAAUCGCGAAAAAACGUUUCCCGCAAAAUCGUGAAAAAACAACUUUUCUUGUCAAUAACACUUUUUCCGCUAAAUCUUCAAAAACACCUUUUCCGUCCAAACUGCAGAAACGUAUUUUUUCGCCACACCCAUAAAACGUAUUUUUCCGCCAAAACCAUAUAAUGCACUUUUUCGCGAAAAACACAUAUUUUCUCAAAAACCGCAAAAAUAUUUUUGGCCAAAACCAUUAAAAUGCUAUUAUUCCACCGAAACGUAAAAAAAUAUAUUUUUGUCAUUGUAUUAACAAGUCCACCUGGAUGCAAAUGAAAGUUAAAAAAUGAAAAGCAAACAAAAAUAGUUGCAUUCAGAUGAUUCAUCUAGAUGCAUGAACAAAAUGAAAAAACGAACAACACCCAGAUGAAGCAUCUGGAUAAGACAUCUAGAUGGACCAUCUGGAUGCAUCUUCCAGAUGUACAAACGAACAGGACCUUAGAAACAUGUAAUGCGACCAAGAUACCAAUGGAGUUUGGUCUUAAGGUUUCAAAAGCCGAAGAAGAAGAAUAGAUUGAAGCAACGCAAUAUAGAAGAAACGUGGGAUGCCUACGUUACUUGCUUCACACACUACCGGAUUUAGCAUUCUCGGUCAGUGUGGCAAGUCCCUACAUGCAAAGGCCUCGUAAGUCACAUGGCGACAUCAUGAAGCAAAUCAUGCAGUAUCUUGAUAGCUGUCACAACAUAGACCAAGACGAUGGUAGAAGCACCACGGGUCACAUGUUUUAUUUUGGAACUUCACCGAUUACUUGGUGUUCACAAAAACAGAACACAGUUGCACUCUCAUCGUGCGAGACAGAGUUUAUGGCCGCAACUGAAGCAGCACGUCAGGCCAUAUGGCUCCAAGACCUUCUAAGCGAGAUCACGGGUUGGAAGGUAGAGAGAAUUCUCAUCAAGAUUGAUAGCAAGUCGGCUAUAGAGCUCACCAAGAACCCUGUCUUUCACGGCAAGAGCAAGCACAUUCAUAAACACUACCAUUUUAUUCGAGAAUGUAUUGAAAGAGAGCUCGUCGACGUGAGCACGUACCGGGAACGUUACAAAAAGCCGACAUCCUCACAAAAGCUUUGGCAAUGAUUAAGUUCGUUGAGAUGAGAUACUUGAUAGGAGUUCAAAACUUGUGGACUCAAAGCUCAAGAGAGAGAUUGUUGGGUAAGCUUUGAUAGCUUGAAGCUCAAGAUAUCCUUUGUCAAGUUGGAUAAGGAUAAGAUAAGCUUAGAUAUAUACCUAGUAGUAUUAGGAGUUAUUUAUAACUAUUAAGAAAAGGAAAUCUACUCUAAUAUAUAUACAUACGGAGAUUGUGGUAUUGAUAUAGUCAUAUAGAGGAGUAUUUUAGUUUUGAGCAUAUUUUCUAAAGCAUUCAAUAAAGAGAGCAAGUUCUUUAUAUUCUUUGUGUGUGUUCGAGCUACUUUAAACAAAUCCGAAUCUAACAACAUGGUCCGCACAUGUUUGUACACAUAGGAGGUUUUCAAGUUUGUUUGUUGUUUCGGCAUUAUUGCUCAUACUGUCAUACAUGUUUCAACAAUUUAAUUAAUUAUAAAAUGUAAAUUAAAAUUUAGAUAUAGAAAAGAUACAAUAUACCUAAGACUAUAAUCAGCUAGUUAAUAUUUUGUCAAAUUAUUUAAACCUGCGUUCCAAAAAAAAAAAACUAAAGUAACUACUGUAUAUAGGAAGAAAUGUCAAAAGAAAAUUAACACAAAAACGUGGGAAAUGCGAAAUAAAUUAGAAACUAGAUUUUGACCCGUGCAACCGCACGAGUGUUUGUUUUCACUUUUCUAUACAUAAAUUAUUAUUUUAGAACAUAAGUGGUAUAUAUUUUUAAUGUUAAUCAUAUACUUAAAUAUUUAUAUAACUAUUUCAAAUACAAUAAUUUUAUAAUUUACAUGUUAUAAUUAAUUAAUUGUUUAAACCUUAUGUAUUUACCACUUCUUAUUAUAUAUUUAUCUUAUUGUAUUUGCAUUUAGUUAUUAAGCAAAUUAAUAUAUUCAUGAGAAAAUAUAUUUAAAAAAUAUUUUGUAUUUAAUUUAUGCUAAAUUAUAACCUUUUCUUCCAAUGCUGGAUUUCUUUUUACCAAUAUUUUUUAUGCUUAUUCGUUUUCGAUAAUAUAUUAUUGUAUAUAAAAAAAUCUACGAUAUGUUAAUUUUUAGACAUGUACUACAUAUUUUUCUAAUUCUUAAGCCAUUUUGUCAUCGUAUUAUAUUCUAACAAAAAUAGUUUAUGUUUAUGAAAAUAAAAUUUACUAAUUUAAUAUAAUUUUAUCAUAUUUAGUUUAAUAUAAUAAUUAUGGUUUAACAUGAUAAUUAUAAAGUAGAUAAAAAUAAGAUUUAUAUUUAAAAUGAAAAGAUAUCAAAAGAUAUUAUGAUUAAAAUAUUUCAAAAAUUCUAUUUAUUAUUAGUAUGAACUAAAAUGUAAUAUGAAUAUCUAUGAAUAGGUUUAUUAGGUCUAUUUUUAAAAAAAUCGCACAUGAAUGAAGGUUGUGGUUUGUUUUAAUAUAUAAGAUUUAUAUUUAAAAUGAAAAGAUAUCAAAAGAUAUUAUGAUUAAAAUAUUUCAAAAAUUCUAUUUAUUAUUAGUAUGAACUAAAAUGUAAUAUGAAUAUCUAUGAAUAGGUUUAUUAGGUCUAUUUUUAAAAAAAUCGCACAUGAAUGAAGGUUGUGGUUUGUUUUAAUAUAUAAGAUACCGAUAAAGAAGAGGAAAGGGAAGAUGACAGUCCCCGGUGACUCGGUGAGGAAACAGCGUUGAAAUGGCGAAGUCGUAAAGGUAAGUUCACAAAAAAAACGCGCUUUUACAAAACUCUAGUCUCUUAAAUAAUGCCAUUGCCGUAGAUUCGGAUCACAUAUUCUUAUUCAGUCCCCUUCAAAAUCAAGUUCUCACCUUUGGUCUCUUUCUCGUUCUGGGUUCAGUGCUGGUGAGCUGUGAGAGUUUCAAGUUCUCACCUUUUUCUCUUUCGCAUUCUGGGUUCAGGGUUAGUGAGGUGGGAGAGUUUCAAGUUUUCAGUCCCGAUACGUCUUUUGAGAGAUUUAAACACAGAUGAUGAUUCUAGGGUUAGUGGAAAUUACCCUCCUUUGCUCUCUUUUUGUCUCUUUCCGUUUAGACUCUGUCUCCUCUCUAAACUCGGAUGGUUUGGCUUUACUUUCGCUUCUCAGCCACUUUGACAAAGUACCACCUCAAGUCAAUUCCACGUGGAAGGAGAACACAUCUGAAACCACUCCGUGUAAUAACUGGUUUGGUGUCACUUGUGAUGGUUCUCUUAACGUCGAGACUCUUAAUCUGAGUACAUCUGGUGUUUCAGGGCAACUAGGUUCCGAAAUUGGAGAGCUUAAGAGCUUGAUCACUCUGGAUCUGAGUAACAAUAGUUUAUCUGGUCCGUUGCCUUCCAGUUUAGGAAACUGUACUUCACUUCAGUAUUUGGAUUUGUCUGAAAAUGGGUUUUCCGGAGAGAUUCCAGAUAAUUUUGGCAGCUUGAAGAAUUUGACUUAUCUGUAUCUCACUUCAAACUUCUUCAGUGGCGAGUUGCCUGAGUCCUUGUUCCAGCUUUCCUUGCUACAAGUGCUGAAUCUUGAUACAACAAUCUUACCGGUCUGAUUCCUGCAAGUGUUGGUGGGUUGAAAGAGCUUUCAGAUCUGACCUUGUCUCAUAAUGACUUGUCUGGUCCCAUCCCUGAGUCCAUUGGGAACUGCAGUAAGCUGGAGUAUCUGUACUUGCACAAGAACAAGCUUAAUGGUUCGUUACCGGAAAGUCUCAACCUGCUCAAGAAUCUCAGUGAAGUGUUUGUCA